UGCCCUAGUAACGGCGAGUGAAGCGGCAACAGCUCAAAUUUGAAAGCUGGCCUUCGGGUCCGCAUUGUAAUUUGUAGAGGAUGCUUUGGGGCAGCCGCCUGUCUAAGUUCCUUGGAACAGGACGUCAUAGAGGGUGAGAAUCCCGUAUGUGACAGGACAUGGCACCCUAUGUAAAGCUCCUUCGACGAGUCGAGUUGUUUGGGAAUGCAGCUCUAAAUGGGAGGUAAAUUUCUUCUAAAGCUAAAUACCGGCGAGAGACCGAUAGCGCACAAGUAGAGUGAUCGAAAGAUGAAAAGCACUUUGGAAAGAGAGUUAAAAAGCACGUGAAAUUGUUGAAAGGGAAGCGCUUGCAAUCAGACUUGUUUUGACUGUUCGGCCGGUCUUCUGACCGGUUUACUCAGUCUGGACAGGCCAGCAUCAGUUUUGGCGGCCGGAUAAAGGCCUAGGGAAUGUGGCUCUCGCUUCGGUGGGAGUGUUAUAGCCCUGGGUGUAAUACGGCCAGCCGGGACUGAGGUCCGCGCUUCGGCUAGGAUGCUGGCGUAAUGGUUGUAAGCGACCCGUCUUGAAACACGGACCAAGGAGUCUAACAUCUAUGCGAGUGUUCGGGUGUCAAACCCCUGCGCGUAAUGAAAGUGAACGGAGGUGGGAACCGCAAGGUGCACCAUCGACCGAUCCUGAUGUCUUCGGAUGGAUUUGAGUAAGAGCAUAGCUGUUGGGACCCGAAAGAUGGUGAACUAUGCCUGAAUAGGGUGAAGCCAGAGGAAACUCUGGUGGAGGCUCGCAGCGGUUCUGACGUGCAAAUCGAUCGUCAAAUUUGGGUAUAGGGGCGAAAGAC
rnacentral:rRNA from 1 species